rnacentral:lncRNA from 1 species
AUGGACCAAUGUCCUCAAAAUUCUGAAGAAGGAUUCCAACCUGGAAUUGGAUUUCCAAGGGAAUUGUUGAUUGAGCAGGACAGAACAAAGACAUAUUUGAAACGCCAGUCUCCCGGUGUCUCUGAGUCUCCCAAAGGUGUUCCCUGGCAACAUGUGAGAGCAAACAGCCAAAACUGUGGGGAAAAGGAAAAAAUCAAUGCCGAAAAUCCGUUUCAACCGCAAAGAAAAGAGAUCAAACCCGAACUUCAGAAGUAUUUACAGCAGAGCUUUUUGGAGGCAAGGUGGAAUUGGCAUCAUGUUGAGACUGAUAGCUGCAUUUCGAGAAAUACGCAGCAAAAAAGGCAGCCUGGAAAAUAAAGCAGGAGAUCUAACUCACUCCUUCACCACGUGAAACGUCUCAUUCCACACUGGCAACAGUCAGGACAGAUAAAGAACGCUUGGGCAGGGGCGCUGCCGGGAGAUAUGUAUAAGCGACCUUGGAAUUUUCCAGAAUCUCAAUCAAUCCACCAUUGAAUCGGAAUGCUCGUGGAAAUCUGGCAUAGGUUAUCCUAAAGGAUUUAAAGGACUGUCUAGAAAAUUCAGUCGUUUUGAUUACGUAUCUUUUAAAAAUACAAUUAGAAUAUUUUUAUCAUUUCUGUUGUGUCUGUACUCUUACAAAAUUCUCUUAAAACUGAAAAUUUACAGGUCGUUUUUGCAGUUAAGGAAGCUUUUGUUGGGAUUUUAAAAUGGCCAUAGUAACCGUGAUUAUGGUUAGUGGUGCAUCGGAAGGAUUCCCCUCAACUGGUAGGCAGGGUGACCCGCCCGGGGACAGGGAAAGGAUGCAGCAUUUGCAGGAUCGGGGAGAGGACAAACCGCUUGUCUUCUGUCCAUGAACGUGGAGAAGCGACAGAGGGAAUGCCUUGUCCACCAGCCACAGAGCGGGGAGGGGGGAGUCAGAGGGCAAGCCCAGCCGAGGGGCUCAGGGAACAGAAGGGUCACUUCGGUGUUGCUUGUCUCUGUUCUGUGACAGUCUUUCACAUCGUCUUGAUUUUAUUCUUGAUGCUUCUCUGUAUUUCCUAAAUAUUCUGAAAUGAAAAGCAUUUAAUUUUUAACCAGAAAAAAAUCUAUGAAACAGGCAAGACAACAAGGCAACCCAGAGGUGGUUGACGAGCUGUCACUAGCCUGUGUUGCCAUUCUCCUUCCCCAGGAGUCCCUUUCCUUGCCUAUAAAGUGACAGGAGGGUGGGAAGACCACUGGGGCCCUCUGUCCCGACCCUCUGUGAUCCCGGGUGCAGCCUGUCUUUGCAGCGUGGAGCAGAGGCACCUCCACCCAGGUCCCCAAAGUUCCCUCCUGACUCCUGGGAGGCUCUGCCCACCACCCCCCAUUCCCUCUUGGGACCAGGACUUCAGGGUUUUACACCCAACGAAACUUACAAGUCCACCUCCCACGCCUUUCCCAGAGAGCUCAGAGUUUGGAAAGUGACUUGCUAACACAGUCACGCCAAGGUAGCAAUAAUGUUGAUGAUGUGACUAUCUGCCCUCUAACGGACAAUUUUAUUUCUAAAAGGAUGUCCGGGGCCACUCCCCAAAGGAAGGGACCACUAAUGGGAUCUGUGCUCAGGAAGGAGUUGUUUCCUGUCAAUGUGGAUUGGCUGUUCUUGAGUUUGUGCAAGCAGCCCCUUGGAGGCAGAACUAGCUGCUUACAAACCUCCCACUAAGCAAGUGUUAUGUUCCAAAAAUAUUUUCAAUCCUAAUUUCAAAUUAGAAAACGGGAAUGAAAUUAUUUUAUUAUUUUUGAGGUUGUCAUUUAUGUUCAUACCAACCUGGAGAAAAACCCCUAAUUUAUUUAAAAGAUUCUAAUCACUUAUGAUUCUGUUGGAAACUUCUCCCCUCUCUUAAUUAGUUUUGCCCAGCCUUCCCAUCUGUUAACAUCACAGGCACAUGGUGAGAAGUCUAUAAAUUGUUAAGCAAUUUUCAGUUACUAUAGUCCUUGAUGUUGCCCCAUUAGUGGAUCAUCAGUCACUGCUCUGCCUGUAAAUGGGCAGGACUGGUCCUACGCAAUUAGCAGAGCUUGAAGCAAUCCAUCGCAGAUCUGUACAGGGAAGCUGGGCUUCAAACCUCUAGAAGAAAGUGCAUCUGAUUUCUGAAGGCUGUUGCGUGAUAAUUAAUUGACUGCAAAAGAAGUUUUCACGCAGGUAGUUCGAUGAGAUGGCAGAGUGCCUGCCAUCUAGGUAGUUCCUAGAUAGCAGAACGCUACAUCCUAGUAGACGGGGGUCCCAGUGGAACCACUCCUGUCUGCCGGUGUAGGUCUGCCCCUGUAGGUUGAACUAACUCAGCUACACACUUUAUGCAGGAUUUUGUAUUUGUUCUUGGAUUAGGCUUCACAUGAAGAAAAACCUUUUUCCAGACACAGAAGAUAAAUGCCUGUAUAAAGAAUUUUUUAAAUUUAUGACAAAAUACAUAAUGAUAUCUUGAAGAAACUAGGUUAGCAAACAUUUCUAGUGUUUGUGUUGUCCCUCACAUUUGUUUUAGAUUGGCCCUGAGCUAACAUCUGUUACCAAUCUGUUUUUUUUUCUUCUUCUCCCCCAAGCCCCCCAGUACAUAGUUGUAUAUUCUAGUUGUGAGUGCCUCUGGUUGCACUAUGUGGGACGCCACCGCAACAUGACCUGAUGAGCAGUGCCAUGUCCGUGCCCAGGAUCUGAACCAGUGAAACCCUGGGGCGCCAAAGCAGAGUGCGCGAACUUAACCACUGGGCCACAGGGCUGGCCUCCCCUAACAUUUUCAAAUGGAGAAGAAAUAAUAUCUGAAAAUCCUAAAUUGUGAAUGAACUUAUCACUGAGCAUGAUCCCACAGAUGUGGACCUAGGAGAGAGUGACGCAGAUGUCACCAUGUCCAAACCCCCAGCAGUGCCCCCUGAUGGAGAGGUCUCCCCUCAGGUGACCCCAGUGGAGAUCUCUGUCCACAGGAGCCCCAGGCCAUCAGCACCUUCAGCUCAUGUUGCCACCACAUCACCUUCACCUGCAUGGACACCAGGAGCUCAGAGAAAGCUUAUUUCAAGGACUAUGAUCCCUUUUGGAACAGUUUGUUUCCUCUUCAGAGUUAAAAAUCACUUCUGAAAUUUCAGAUCUCACAAGCUUUCUGAGUCGAACACACACCAAGAGAGCGUUCGGUGGAUGGCGUGGCUUCCUCAUGCUGUCCUGCAUCGCGGACAGGCAGGGCAGGGUAGCUUUGCCGGUUUGAUGACCACAGACUGAUGCGGGGGUGGGCAGAGCGUUAGGUCAGAGGGAGAGAGGGUCCCAGGACUCUGUUUCAUACCGACUAGAGUAACAUCCUUGGGGAACCCACUAGGUCCCCACACCCCACACGCGUGUGAACACAUUUCUAGAGAGGCAGGAGUGCUGUGAGGACCAUGAUGCACAACAAGGGGGAAAGCAGGAACAGAAAGCAGGGCCCACAGGCCACGCAUCUGGAUUCAGAGGGCGCCAGGCCUGGGCUGGGGUGCUAUCCCCCCGCAGAGAGGCUGGAGGCUCAGGGCAGGGCCUUGCUACAGGCUGGCAGAUUUGCAUUUGUAAUCCUGCUGUCAGAUUUGAAACAUCCCCCUCAAGUUUCCUGGUGAUAAAAUAAACACUGGUUACGGUGAUACCUGAAACCUUAC